rnacentral:rRNA from 1 species
GACGAAGGGGGCUAGCGUUGUUCGGAAUUACUGGGCGUAAAGCGCGUGUAGGCGGUUGUCCAAGUUGGAUGUGAAAGCCUUGAGCUCAACUCAAGAAAUGCACUCGGUACUGGGUGACUAGAGGACCGGAGAGGAUAGUGGAAUUCCCAGUGUAGUGGUGAAAUACGUAGAGAUUGGGAAGAACACCAGUGGCGAAGGCGGCUAUCUGGACGGUUUCUGACGCUAAGACGCGAAAGCGUGGGGAGCAAACAGG